rnacentral:rRNA from 1 species
GUAACCGGCUCACCAAGGCGACGACGGGUAGCCGGCCUGAGAGGGCGACCGGCCACACUGGGACUGAGACACGGCCCAGACUCCUACGGGAGGCAGCAGUGGGGAAUAUUGCGCAAUGGGCGGAAGCCUGACGCAGCGACGCCGCGUGGGGGAUGACGGCCUUCGGGUUGUAAACCUCUUUCAGCAGGGAAGAAGCGCAAGUGACGGUACCUGCAGAAGAAGCGCCGGCUAACUACGUGCCAGCAGCCGCGGUAAUACGUAGGGUGCAAGCGUUGUCCGGAAUUAUUGGGCGUAAAGAGCUCGUAGGCGGUUUGUCGCGUCGGCUGUGAAAACUGGAGGCUUAACCUUCAGCGUGCAGUCGAUACGGGCAGACUUGAGUUCGGUAGGGGAGACUGGAAUUCCUGGUGUAGCGGUGAAAUGCGCAGAUAUCAGGAGGAACACCGGUGGCGAAGGCGGGUCUCUGGGCAGUAACUGACGCUGAGGAGCGAAAGCGUGGGGAGCGAACAGGAUUAGAUACCCUGGUAGUCCACGCCGUAAACGGUGGGUACUA